rnacentral:tRNA from 2 species
GCCUAGGUGGCGGAAUUGGUAGACGCGCUCGACUCAAACUCGAGUUUCUUUGAAGUGUGGGUUCGAUUCCCAUCCUAGGUA